AUACGUAGGUGACAAGCGUUAUCCGGAUUUACUGGGCGUAAAGGGCGUGUAGGCGGUCUUGCAAGUCAGAAGUGAAAUUCCUGAGCUCAACUCGGGCGCUGCUUCUGAAACUGCAGGACUUGAGUGCUGGAGGGGAUAGCGGAAUUCCUAGUGGAGCGGUAAAAUGCGCAGAUAUUAGGAGGAACACCGGCGGCGAAGGCGGCUAUCUGGACAGUAACUGACGCUGAGGCGCGAAAGCACGGGGAGAAAACAGGAUUAGAUACCCUGGUAGUCCGUGCCGUAAACGAUGAAUACUAGGUGUAGGGGGUAUCGACUCCCUCUGUGCCGCAGUUAACACAUUAAGUAUUCCACCUGGGGAGUACGGCCGCAAGGUUGAAACUCAAAUGAAUUGACGGGG
rnacentral:rRNA from 1 species